UACGUAGGGUGCAAGCGUUGUCCGGAAUUAUUGGGCGUAAAGAGCUCGUAGGCGGUCUGUCGCGUCUGCUGUGAAAACUCGGGCUUAACCCCGGGCCUGCAGUGGGUACGGGCAGACUAGAGUGCGGUAGGGGAGACUGGAAUUCCGUGGUGUAGCGGUGAAAUGCGCAGAUAUCAGGAAGAACACCCGUGGCUAAGGCGGCUCUCUAGUACGGUACUGACGCGAGACGCGAAGCGUGGGGAGCGAACGGG
rnacentral:rRNA from 1 species